rnacentral:rRNA from 1 species
GAUGAACGCUGGCGGCGUGCCUAAUACAUGCAAGUCGAGCGAACGGACGAGAAGCUUGCUUCUCUGAUGUUAGCGGCGGACGGGUGAGUAACACGUGGAUAACCUACCUAUAAGACUGGGAUAACUUCGGGAAACCGGAGCUAAUACCGGAUAAUAUUUUGAACCGCAUGGUUCAAAAGUGAAAGACGGUCUUGCUGUCACUUAUAGAUGGAUCCGCGCUGCAUUAGCUAGUUGGUAAGGUAACGGCUUACCAAGGCAACGAUGCAUAGCCGACCUGAGAGGGUGAUCGGCCACACUGGAACUGAGACACGGUCCAGACUCCUACGGGAGGCAGCAGUAGGGAAUCUUCCGCAAUGGGCGAAAGCCUGACGGAGCAACGCCGCGUGAGUGAUGAAGGUCUUCGGAUCGUAAACCUCUGUUAUUAGGGAAGAACAUAUGUGUAAGUAACUGUGCACAUCUUGACGGUACCUAAUCAGAAAGCCACGGCUAACUACGUG